CAAUAUUUCUGGAAUAAAAUCGUCCAAUACUGCGGAUCCGCCACCUGUUCACCUGGGAAGUGAUAUCUGAAAUUUGAGAAUUUCGAUUGAAAUUCCUUAUUCGAAAACUCACGAAUAUUUGUAUUUUGUGGUCAUAUCUGUGUGAUUCGG
ensembl:ncRNA C40H1.10 ncRNA